UGGGGAAUUUUGGACAAUGGGCGCAAGCCUGAUCCAGCCAUGCCGCGUGAGUGAAGAAGGCCUUCGGGUUGUAAAGCUCUUUCGGCAGGAACGAAAUGGUUCGUGCUAAUACCACGGACUGAUGACGGUACCUGAAGAAGAAGCACCGGCUAACUACGUGCCAGCAGCCGCGGUAAUACGUAGGGUGCAGGCGUUAAUCGGAAUUACUGGGCGUAAAGCGUGCGCAGGCGGUUUCUUAAGUCAGAUGUGAAAGCCCCGGGCUUAACCUGGGAACUGCGUUUGAAACUGGGAGACUUGAGUGUGGCAGAGGGGGGCGGAAUUCCACGUGUAGCAGUGAAAUGCGUAGAUAUGUGGAGGAACACCGAUGGCGAAGGCAGCCCCCUGGGUUAACACUGACGCUCAUGCACGAAAGCGUGGGGAGCAAACAGGAUUAGAUACCCUGGUAGUCCACGCCCUAAACUAUGUCAACUGGUUGUCGGGAGAUUAACUCUCUUGGUAACGAAGCUAACGCGUGAAGUUGACCGCCUGGGGAGUACGGCCGCAAGGUUAAAACUCAAAGGAAUUGACGG
rnacentral:rRNA from 1 species